rnacentral:rRNA from 1 species
CAAUAGCGUAUAUUAAAGUUGUUGCAGUUAAAAAGCUCGUAGUUGGAUUUGUGGCGUACGGUGUGUUCCGGGCACUUGUUGUCUGAGUAACCUGCUGUUGCCAUCCUUGGGUGGAACCUGUGUGGCAUUAGGUUGUCGUGCAGGGGAUGCCCAUCAUUUACUGUGAAAAAAUUAGAGUGUUCAAAGCAGGCUUAUGCCGUUGAAUAUAUUAGCAUGGAAUAAUGAGAUAGGACUUUUUUGCUAUUUUGUUGGUUUGCGCAAAGAGGUAAUGAUUAAUAGGGACAGUUGGGGGUAUUCGUAUUCCAUUGUCAGAGGUGAAAUUCUUGGAUUGUUGGAAGACGAACUACUGCGAAAGCAUUUACCAAGGAUGUUUUCAUUAA